GGGUUCAUAGCUCAGCAUGGAUAGAGCGAUUGCUUGCGGAGCAAUAGGUCGGGGGUUCGAAUCCCUUUGGGCCCG
rnacentral:tRNA from 1 species